AACGCACAUUGCGCCCGGUGGUAUUCCGCCGGGCAUGCCUGUUCGAGCGUCAUUUAAACCAAUCCAGCCUCGUGCUUGGGUCUUGGGCCUUUCGCCUCCGGGCGGGCCUCAAAAUCAGUGGCGGUGCCUCCUGGCUCUAAGCGUAGUAAUACUCCUCGCUAUAGACGUUCGGUGGUGUCCUGCCAGCAACCCCCCCAUUUUCAAAGGUUGACCUCGGAUCAGGUAGGGAUACCCGCUGAACUUAA
rnacentral:misc_RNA from 1 species